CUUGUACUGAAGUGAGGCAAAUUCCUCUCCAAGUGUUGCAGAGACCAGAAACCCAGAAAGUAAGAUUUAAUUGCACUGAAGAAAAAAAGCUGUGCUUCCUGUAAAUCUCAAUCGCUACUGAGGAGAGUCAAUACAUUUUUAAUCAAACUUCAUCACUGAUUUUGCACUGAUCACUGAAAUGCAGAAACAUGACAUUUACUACCAUGUUUGCCAUCCAGACCACAUCAGUCAUGUGGUCUCACAGCCAUAUUCCUUGAUAUUGCUGGCUGCUUUUCCAUCAUAUGCUAAUUACACAGUCAUGUAUAGGUUAGGAAGCUCCAUGGUUCCUCAAUAUGGAAGGAUCUGCAUUGCUAGUCCAAUAUAAUCUUGUUGACCUUGAACACCUGAAUCAUCUCAAUUCUACCAUAGCCAGGUGAAUAUAUCACAGACAUCCACAGGUAGAUCCUGCACAACAGCUUCAGUUUCAAUGAAUAUUCUUGAGAAAUAUUUCCACAGAACACUAACUGUUCAACGUUUCUUGACAGAAGACACUUCGUGAGACAAUUUCUCAAGAGCUCUGACUAUGGAAUCUUUAAGAAAGAAAAGCAGCUCUGGAUAAUCCUGCCUGAUUGCCUCUGAUUAAUGCUAACAUCAUACACUGAAAGCAUUGUUAGAUAAGAGCAUAGAAGACCUUGAAGUAGUCUAUUGCAAAAUAGGUACUGACGCUUUAACGGUACAUCUAAUUUCAGUCGGUUUUAUGGAGACCUACUCAACAAGCUAAGAAUUUACAAACCUCAAGUUUCUUGGAUUUUGGAAGAAACCUUCUCAAGGCAGCUACUACACAGCCAAAGUUCAAAUGCGUGCCUGAAGUAUGUGCAGCAGCAGCUUAGCUAUGGCUGUAACAGAAGUCACAGCUGCUAUAGUGAUCUGAGCCCAAAUAGCACUGCACUUCAAGGAAACAGUAAUCCAUGUAACAGUUAACGCCAGUAGGAUCUGACUGCACGUACAACAUUGUCUUAAGGCCUGUGGUGAAUUGUGUCUCUUUUCCCUUGCUGCAGAAUGAACUUGGUGGGCUUGCUGUAACACGUGAACUUGUACCCAGCUCCCGCUCAGUACCAGCGAUGACACAGCCUGCAUCUCUUGCCUUUAUCAAACUGUACAGCAACACGUUCUCAUGGGAACAUCACUUU
ensembl:lncRNA